UGCAGGGUAUAGACCCGAAACCCGGUGAUCUAGCCAUGGGCAGGUUGAAGGUUGGGUAACACUAACUGGAGGACCGAACCGACUAAUGUUGAAAAAUUAGCGGAUGACCUGUGGCUGGGGGUGAAAGGCCAAUCAAACCGGGAGAUAGCUGGUUCUCCCCGAAAGCUAUUUAGGUAGCGCCUCGUGAAUUCAUCUCCGGGGGUAGAGCACUGUUUCGGCUAGGGGGCCAUCCCGGCUUACCAACCCGAUGCAAACUGCGAAUACCGGAGAAUGUUAUCACGGGAGACACACGGCGGGUGCUAACGUCCGUCGUGAAGAGGGAAACAACCCAGACCGCCAGCUAAGGUCCCAAAGUCAUGGUUAAGUGGGAAACGAUGUGGGAAGGCCCAGACAGCCAGGAUGUUGGCUUAGAAGCAGCCAUCAUUUAAAGAAAGCGUAAUAGCUCACUGGUCGAGUCGGCCUGCGCGGAAGAUGUAACGGGGCUAAACCAUGCACCGAAGCUGCGGCAGCGACGCUUAUGCGU
rnacentral:rRNA from 1 species